rnacentral:rRNA from 1 species
GUAGGUGGUUUGUCGCGUUGUUCGUGAAAUCUCACGGCUUAACUGUGAGCGUGCGGGCGAUACGGGCAGACUUGAGUACUGCAGGGGAGACUGGAAUUCCUGGUGUAGCGGUGGAAUGCGCAGAUAUCAGGAGGAACACCGGUGGCGAAGGCGGGUCUCUGGGCAGUAACUGACGCUGAGGAGCGAAAGCGUGGGGAGCGAACAGGAUUAGAUACCCUGGUAGUCCACGCCGUAAACGGUGGGUACUAGGUGUGGGUUUCCUUCCUUGGGAUCCGUGCCGUAGCUAACGCAUUAAGUACCCCGCCUGGGGAGUACGGCCGCAAGGCUAAAACUCAAAGAAAUUGACGGGGGCCCGCACAAGCGGCGGAGCAUGUGGAUUAAUUCGAUGCAACGCGAAGAACCUUACCUGGGUUUGACAUGCACAGGACGCCGGCAGAGAUGUCGGUUCCCUUGUGGCCUGUGUGCAGGUGGUGCAUGGCUGUCGUCAGCUCGUGUCGUGAGAUGUUGGGUUAAGUCCCGCAACGAGCGCAACCCUUGUCUCAUGUUGCCAGCGGGUAAUGCCGGGGACUCGUGAGAGACUGCCGGGGUCAACUCGGAGGAAGGUGGGGAUGACGUCAAGUCAUCAUGCCCCUUAUGUCCAGGGCUUCACACAUGCUACAAUGGCCGGUACAAAGGGCUGCGAUGCCGCGAGGUUAAGCGAAUCCUUUUAAAGCCGGUCUCAGUUCGGAUCGGGGUCUGCAACUCGACCCCGUGAAGUCGGAGUCGCUAGUAAUCGC